rnacentral:rRNA from 1 species
CCUACGGGUGGCAGCAGUGAGGAAUAUUGGUCAAUGGCCGGAAGGCUGAACCAGCCAUGCCGCGUGAAGGUCAGUGCCCUAUGGGCGUUAAACUUCUUUUGUGCGGGAGCAAUAAUGGUCACGUGUGGCCAGACGAGAGUACCGUACGAAUAAGCAUCGGCUAACUCCGUGCCAGCAGCCGCGGUUAUACGGGGGAUGCAAGCGUUAUCCGGUUUUAUUGGGUUUAAAGGGUGCGUAGGCUGUGAGGUAAGUCAGCGGUGAAAUGCCCCCGCUCAACGGGGUGAAGUGCCAUUGAUACUGGCUGGCUGGAAUGCGGAUGCGGUGGGAGGAAUGUGUGGUGUAGCGGUGAAAUGCAUAGAUAUCACACAGAACACCGAUUGCGAAGGCAUCUCACGAAUCCGCGAUUGACGCUGAUGCACGAAAGCGUGGGUAUCAAACAGGAUUAGAUACCCGAGUAGUC